rnacentral:lncRNA from 1 species
UGGCCGGGUGCUCGAACGGGACGUGGCUCCAUUGCUUCUUGCCACCACGGUAGGAGCUCCAGCUGCUGCUGGGGUUGUUGGUGAAGAGGCGGCGCUCGCGGUUGCGGACGAUGACGGCGCGGCCCUCCUCGAGGACGAACGGCAGGUAGGAGUCGACGACGAGGUCCCGGUGGCGGCUGUGGAAGAUGACCCGGUAGAAGCGGCGCUCGUCCUCGCCGGGGUAUAUGCUGAUGACGUUGGACCUGGCGAUCUUCUUGGAGGCGUGCCACCAGAUGGUGGCGCCGUGGAAGGUGUCGGUGACCUCGUCGUAGUCGUCGACGGAGACCUGGAGGUUCUUGCUGUCCUUGCCGAGCUCGGCCCUGAGCUUGCGCGCGCGGCGGGCGCAGGCGUCGGAGAGGUAGGCCUCGACGGCUAGGUAGAAGUCGCUGCGGCGGAAGCGCUCGGCGCCGUACUCGGAGAUGGUGACCUCGAGGUAGGGGUUGAAGUAGGAGGCGAGCUUGUUGGACCAGGUGGCGAGGCGGAGGGUGAGGGUGGCGGGGAUGUGUCUCUGCACCACGGACCAGAGGAAGAGGAAGCUCGCCAGCGCCGACCCAAAUCCGGUCCACUUGUCCACAGCCGCCAUGGCUAGCUUUUUUAGUUCAGGGGAUCGAUGAUUUGUUGCUCACAUGUUGUGAGUUUAUAUAGACAGCAUGCAUCAUGUGCUUGACUUGGAGUCAACCGCUGCUGGCUGGGCGCCGUAGGAAGGAUCGGAGCAGGUGAGGUGAUGAAGCUGUCGCCAUUGUCGGAGCUAGUGGCUGAUUGCAAAGCAAAAGCGGUAAGUAUUUCAAUGCAUGCUUUCAAAUUGGGCCGCCCAGGCCGGCCCAAAUGCGUGCGUCAUCCUUGGAUAUAUACAUGCAUCAUGCAUGACCAAUAGCUGCUUGCGUGUCAUAGUCAUACACAGUCAUCAUCAUGCGAGAGCUUUGCCUCCACGGCUGUUCGUUUGCCGUCGUCUUUUGUCGUCGGAAGGAUCCUCGUAGCAGAGCAGAACAGGUGAGAGCGGGAGAGAUGGAGACGGCCGAGAUGGAUGGCAAAGGAAGAAUUUGCUUUGAAAUUGAAGCCGCCCAAAUGCGUCAUUGAUUUGUAUUAAUUUGGUCGUCUCAGCUCAGCUAGCAUGACUAGAUGGUGCGUGCAAUACAAGGUACCCUUCCCUCCGUUUUAGCUUUACUAGAUGGUGCGUGCAGUACAAGGUACCCUUCCCUCUGUUUUGGUUUUACUAGAUGGUGCGUGUAGGACAAGGUACCCUUCCCUCCAUUUUAGCUUUUCUAAGUUGUCUAGAUGCAUAGUAAUAUCUAUAAAUUUUAAAAAGCUAAAAUGACCUGCAGUUUGGAAUGAACGGAGUAGCAUACACACACAUAGACACCUUUGUCCAGUCUCAGACAUCGUCAAAUUGCCUAUGAAAUUUUACUCAACAAGUAAUAUACUAUAUAUUGCAUGCAAUACGUCGUCUAGCAGACGUAACCACAACUUAGAGUCUGACGCCAUGAUUCAGAUAUCAUGCUGCCUGCGUCAUGAUUCAUGCAUGCAGCUGCUCAUCUCCCGCCAUACACACAACACACUUGAUGUUGCUAGUGUUAAUCUUUUCGAGGCUAGUCUUGGGCCAUGCCGGCCGGCCGGAACCUUUUCCAUCUUCCAAACAAAAACGCUGGACAGCAGGCAUGGGUCGUCCCUUUCAUGCAUGCCACAUCUAUCUCAGCUCGCUACUUCAGGAUCUAUUUGGAUCCACAAACUAAUUGUUAGGUACCUAAUUUUAGUUGGGGUGGAUCUAAAUAGGGGCUAGUUAAUGCUCGGAUAAAACCUUUCUAUAUAGCUUCAUAGUUGGAUCCAACCCAUAUGAUUUCAGCUAACCAACUAAUGAAUUAGUUGGGUGGAUAAUCUCAGUCAAACCAGUCUUAUAGUCUUAUAAUUAACAAGAGUGCACCUAGAACUGCAUCCUAUAAGAUAUGGUUUAGUGUCACGACCCAAGACAUUCAUGCAUCCAACAACGUCAACAGCUAAAGAUAAAGAAAAGGGUGGGGCAAGAAAUGAAAGCUGAAAAGAGGACGAAAGAAUAGAGAGAAAGGUCCGGGUUGGGCAAAAAAAAAAUAGAGAGCGAUUGGAUCUUGAUCGUCUGGACUCAAAAUUGAAGUGUUGAGAAUCAUUGUGUGCAGUAAUUAGUUAACACAAAUCAUUAUAUUGUUUAUUUAUGGUUUAUCACUAUAUGAGUUGGAAAUGAACUUUUUUGCAUCUAUUUAAGUUAUUCAUGUUGAUAUCCAAUUAUCCAUGCAAUGCAGAUAGGUCGGAAAUAAUAUUUAUCAGGACACGUCUAUUUCAUGCUAGGGCGUUUGUAGGCCACCAACACUCAGCCUUUGAGCUAGUCGUCUCAAAUCCAAUGGUUCUCGUGUUUUUUAUUAUCUUCAGCCUUCCCUGAUCUUUGUCUAUUGCCUACACUCUUCCAGCAUCGGCACCUAAUGCACAUUCAUAAAUUUCAUAUUUUCCGAUGAGCAUCUUUCUCUACUACCUUUUUGCCACCACAUUAAUCGGGCGUGCCAUAUGCAUCAUGAUGCCCUACGCUGAUAAUGUCCACUUGGCAGUCCUAUUGUUGAUGUCAACCUAGCUAUCUCACUACCUCAACUACUUAAAAAUUUACUAACUAGUGAAUGUUUGGUAUGUGAGGAUACUUAUGUUUUUUACAUCCGAAAAUAUGAAUUUAGACGGAUCUGACAAAGCCAAGACUUUGGGUGAUUAUUUUGGCAUAUACAUAACUUCAAAUUAAAAUUGAUAGUCAAUAAAGUUAUACAUCUUUUCAAGAACUGCAAUUUACAUCUUGUGAGCUAAAGUUUACAAACAUAGCCUGAACAAAUAUAUGCAUACCUUUUUUUGGUGAGUUUGGGAUUGAGAUGGGAACCAUAUUGCUUUAGCCUAUAUGUACAUAUCGGCUUUACAGUAUGUAUAUGGUGCGGGAAAUAAAGUUGCUUCCACAUUUUGAUGUUUGUAUAUCAUGAACAUAUUUUUUUUCAAGAAUACAACAACGGGGAACAUGGCCUUGUGAACUCAUGUCAAACAAACAUAUACCAAACGGUAUUUAAACUGGCAACCUAAUGAGGGAUACCUCGAGGUAGUAGGUUGGUUAGUGGAGCUUCAUCGAGAUUAGGAACAUGAAGGCAAAUGUGAGGCACGACUUAGACAGGUUUCAACCGCUAGAGUAGCGUAAUACUCUACAUCUAGUGGGAUGUAUUGCCAUGCGUUGGUGUUGUUGUACUUUUGAGGUGUUCGUGCUUCACCUUAUAUAUCAGGGGCAGGAUUGUUACAGGUCGGUUUGUAUGAAUCCUAGUCAGCUAAGAUUGGAAGAAUCCUACUUUCGAGUACUUUUCCAAUAUAUGAUUAGUUGCCCUCUCGGGUAACUACGCCAUCCUGGAUCGUAGCUAUCUGUUGGAGUAGUCGGGCUAGCUUAUCCCCUUUCCAGGAUGAUCCAAGUCACCACAAAGGGCCCAUUGAUCCUGGUCCGUCAAUACCAGGCUCUACCACUAGGCCGUCUUGAUGUUUGGCUCCUAUGCAUUCUUUUGUGAGUUUGGGAUUGAGAAAGGAAUACAUCUCAGCGCAAGCAGGCAAUACUACCGGCUGAAGCAUUUAGCACUAGCAGCAGGAAUUAGGAGCACAUCAUUUACUUGAUACAUGCUCAUGAUUGGGAACUUGCGAUUAUAUAGAACUGGCUACUUUCCAACUUGCUUCCACAUCUGCCACCUAUGUUUGUUUAGCUCCGCAUGCUCAGUGUCUCCUCUCUUUUGAUACAUGCACAUUUUUCAUUAGAAGAUGCGGCAAAAACUCGUAUAACUUUAAUGAUAUUACACAACACUCCGCAAUACAAAAGUUAGAGAAGAGGAAUGUUCACAAGGUUACUGGAAAUGAAAUUUCAUAAACAGUACAUAACAACUAGCAUUGACGACCUUGUAGGUGUAGCGCAUCCGACAGCCAGAUCGACCUUAUACUAGGCUAAACGGUGAACCCUAAGGUUUGAGACGAUCGGCGUCAGAACACAGAAAAAUGACAAAAAGCUAGACUCCUGGAUUGGUUGAUUGACCAUGAAUGGAUCACAUAUUUUUUCCCUAAAAACUUGGCUAGCAAGUACUCCCUCCGUUUCAAAUUAUAGGUUGUUUUAGCUUUUUCUAAGUUCUAGAUAGAUAAUAUGUCUAGAUGCAUAAUAAAAUCUAUGAGCCUUAAAAUGUCAAAACGAUUUAUAAUUUGGAAUGGAGAGAUUAUUUCAUUAAGAAAAAGUAAGAUAAGUUUACAAAGCACGUGACCUCAAACCAAAACACAAGGAAGAUCCCAUGUUGGGUACGAAAGGUCACUGCGUUAUUGAAUUAAGACUUCUCCAUCACUAAUAAACAAGCUCACUACCUUCAUUAGUUGUCAUUUGUCGCAUCCGAUCCUUUUGUGUCACCAUUGCUCAUCUCGGCUUCAGUGGACAAUGACGUUUUGCCCUUCCCUUUGUCUUCUUCUCCUUUGGCUUCCUUCGCCGCCUUCUCCUUGGCUUCCUUUGCCUCCGCCUCCGCCUUCUCCUUGGCCUCCGCUUCCUCUUUCGCCUUUGCGGCGGCCGCCUCCUCCUUGGCCUUGUUCAGAGCUUCCACUAGAGCCGCCAGGCAUGCGUCGGUGUCCCUCUUCUUCUUCUUGGACAUGGGCAUCAGGUUCUCGGCCACGUCCGCCGGCGACAUCUGCGUCUCCUCCAGCAGCCGCCGAACCUCGCCGAAGAGGUCGUGCUCGGUGAUAUCCAGGUAGUUUUUGGCGAGCACCUUGAAGGCCUCGAAGCUGCAGUAGGACAUCUCGAUGUGCUUGUCCAUCCGGCCUCGCCGGAUCAGCGCCUGGUCCAGCUUCUCCUUGUGGUUGGUGGUGAAGAUGAUGAUGCGCUCGCCUCCGCACGCCGACCAGAGGCCGUCGAUGAAGUUGAGCAGCCCGGAGAGCGUGACCUUGGUGCUGUCGUCCUUGUCGGGAUCCACCGGCAGCUUGGGUUUGUCGUCGCUGCCGUCACCGUCGUCGGGCUUCUUCUUCUUGUCCUUGCGCUUGCCGGUGAGGUCGACGGAGCAGUCGAUGUCCUCGAUGACGAUGAUGGACUUGCCGGUGGUCUCGAUGAAGAGCUUGCGCAACUCGGUGUUGUUCUUCACCGCCGUGAGCUCCAGGUCGUAGACGUCGUAGUCGAGGUAGUUGGCCAUGGCGGCGAUCAUGGUGGACUUGCCGGUGCCCGGGGGGCCAUACAGCAGGUAGCCGCGCUUCCAUGGCUUGCCGACCUUGGCGUAGUAGUCCUUGGCCUCGCGGAACGCCUCGAGGUCGUCGACGAUGGCCUCCUUGUCGGCUGGGUCCAUGGCGAGCGUGGCGAACGUGGCCGGGUGCUCGAACGGGACGUGGCUCCAGACGCCGUUCCUGGUGCGGUAGGGGUUCCAGCUGCUGCUGGGGUUGUUGGUGAAGAGGCGGCGCUCGCGGUUUCGGACGGUGACGGCGCGGCCCUCGGCGAGGACGUAGGGCAGGUAGGAGGCGACGACGAGGUCGCGGUGGCGCCUGUGGAAGACGAGCUGGUAGAAGCGGCGCUCUUCCUCGCCGGGGUAGAAGCUGAUGACCUGGGACUUGGGGAGGUUCUUGGCGGCGUACCACCAGAGCUUGGCUCCGCUGAAGGUGUCGGUGACCUCGUCGUUGUCGUCGACGGAGACCUGGAGGUUGCUGCUGUCCUUGCCGAGCUCGGCCCGGAGCCUGCGGGCGCGGCGGGCGCAGGCGUCGGAGAGGUAGGCCUCGACGGCGAGGAACAAGUCGGUGCGGCUGAAG